GCCAGUGUGGAAUAAUGGUUAGAGUGUUGGACUGUGACUCUGGAGAGCAGGGUUUGAACCCCUACUUAGUUA